rnacentral:rRNA from 1 species
UACGGGGGGGGGCAAGCGUUAUCCGGAUUUACUGGGUUUAAAGGGUGUGUAGGCGGGCCAUUAAGUCAGGGGUGAAAUCCCGGAGCUCAACUCCGGAACUGCCUUUGAUACUAUUGGUCUUGAAUGUUGUUGAGGUGGGCGGAACGGGUCAUGUAGCGGUGAAAUGCAUAGAUAUGACCCGGAACACCGAUUGCGAAGGCAGCCCGCUAAGCAACUAUUGACGCUGAGGCACGAAAGCGUGGGGAUCAAACAGG